rfam:Capsicum annuum cultivar Zunla-1 chromosome 5, whole genome shotgun sequence
AAUAACCAAAUAUGAUACUUAGGCUAGGGGUCAAGUUGGUACUUUUUCUUACAUCUCCCCCUCCCGGAGCCUAGGUAUUACAUACACCCCCAAAAUAAAGAGCCUUGAAUACUAGAAGAAAAAAACCUAGACCUAACAAGAUUAAGUGAAUACCUAAAUUGUGGUCAUUUUAUUUCGAUCUUUCCA